ACGAACGCUGGCGGCGUGCUUCACACAUGCACGUCGAACGGAAAGGCCCUGCUUUUGUGGGGUGCUCGAGUGGCGAACGGGUGAGUAACACGUGAGUAACCUGCCCUUGACUUUGGGAUAACUCCAGGAAACUGGGGCUAAUACCGGAUAGGAGCUCCUGCUGCAUGGUGGGGGUUGGAAAGUUUCGGCGGUUGGGGAUGGACUCGCGGCUUAUCAGCUUGUUGGUGGGGUAGUGGCUUACCAAGGCUUUGACGGGUAGCCGGCCUGAGAGGGUGACCGGCCACAUUGGGACUGAGAUACGGCCCAGACUCCUACGGGAGGCAGCAGUGGGGAAUAUUGCACAAUGGGCGGAAGCCUGAUGCAGCAACGCCGCGUGCGGGAUGACGGCCUUCGGGUUGUAAACCGCUUUCGCCUGUGACGAAGCGUGAGUGACGGUAAUGGGUAAAGAAGCACCGGCUAACUACGUG
rnacentral:rRNA from 1 species